CCUCUCCAAACAUAGCGCUUAUGGUUGUGACCAUAAAGCUCUAUUUUGGUCUCGUCACUCCAAAUUACAGUGUGCCAGAAGCUGUGAGGCGUGUCAAGGUGUUGUCGGGCAUAUUGUAACUGGGCUUUUUUGUGGCAUUGGUGCAGUAAAGGCUUCUUUCUGGCAACUCGACCAUGCAGCUCAUUUUUGUUCAAGUAUCAUUGUAUUGUGCUCCUUGAAACAAGCACACCGUCUUUUUCCAGAGCAGCCUGUAUCUCUCCUGAGGUUUCCUGUGGGUUUUUCUUUGUAUCCUGAACAAUUCUUCUGGCAGUUGUGGCUGAAAUCUUUCUUGGUCUACCUGACCUUGGCUUGGUAUCAAGGGAUCCCUGAAUUUUCCACUUCUUAGUACGUGAUUGAACAGUACUGACUGGCAUUUUCAAGGCUUUGGAUAUUGUUUUAUAUCCUUUUCCAUCUUUAUAAAGUUCCAUUACCUUGUUACGCAGGUCUUUUGACAGUUCUUUUCUGCUCCCCAUGGCUCAGUAUCUAGCCUGCUCAGUGCAUCCACGUGAGAGCUAACAAACUCAUUGACUAUUUAUACACAGACACUAAUUGCAAUUUAAAAAGCCACAGGUGUGGGAAAUUAACCUUUAAUUGCCAUUUAAACCUGUAUGUGUCACCUUGUGUGUCUGUAACAAGGCCAAACAUUCAAGGGUAUGUAAACUUUUGAUCAGGGCCAUUUGGGUGAUUUCUGUUAUCGUUAUGAUUUAAAAAGGAGCCAAACAACUAUGUGAUAAUAAAUGGCUUCAUAUGAUCACUGUCCUUAAAUAAAAGGCACGAUCAGUCAUAUUUUCAAAAUCAAUGCCAAAAUUCCACAAUUUCUGCCAGGGUAUGCAAACUUUUGAGCACAACUGUAAAUGAUAAAAGCCUGAGUAAUCUUUCCAACUACUGAUGGCCUGUGGUAACACUGAAUCCCUCAUCACGACUAUGACAUGUUCUUAUUAUAAGAUGUUCUCUUAUUAUAUUAAUAUAAUGAAACUACAAUAUCCUAGAGGUAGCUUUAUCACACUGGCUUUAAAUGCAGAAUUUAGUAGUGUAUGUUUAUUGGUUCUGAUAUCUAAGAUUCAAGGCAGAAUUCUUUCAUAAAAAUUUCAUAUUUGUAAAACGCACACCAAAAAUAGACAAAAGCAGUUUUAUUAAAAUAAAAGAAUGGCCUUAUGACUUACAGUACUGUGUGUAAAAGUUUUAGGCAGUUAUGAAAAAUGCUGUAAAGUGAGGAUGUUUUCAAAAAUAAUCCCAUGCAGUAAACAUAAAGCAAAAAAAAAAAAAAAUUCAUAUUUGGUGUGACCACCCUAUGCCUUUUAAACAGCACCAACUCUCCUAGGUACACUUGCGCACCGUUUUUCAAGGUUGUUCCAAGCAUCUUGGAGUACUUGCCACAGUUCUAUGUAUUUAGGCUGUCUCAAUUGCUUCUGUCGCUUCAUGUAAUCCCAGACUGACUCCAUGAUUUUGAGAUCUGGGCCAUAACAUCUGUUUCAGGACUCCUUGUUCUACAUCUAAUAUAUUCUGUUUGCAAAAGGAAUAUUUGGAAAUCUAAAACACUAAUGCAGAAGAUAAAAAAUGUCUUAAGACAGAUGUUUUUGGAAACAUGUAAUGUGCCUAAGAAUUUUGAACAGUACUGUACAAGUAAACCAACAGUUCAGUUUAACUGCAAGAAAGUUGUGCCCCUGUAAGAAACAGUGCCCCCUUUUGGGCUUUAAAUGGAUUUUAUCUUUUUGCACCGUCAAACCAUAAGUACGUUAAUAACAAUUAGUUUGACAGAAAUUACAGAACACAUGUUUGUCAAAUGAAUUCCUCAGAAAGAAAUGUUUUUAUGAAAUUUGUUGUGAUAUACUUAAGUGUAAUACAAUUCUUUAACAUAUGCCUAUCUAUAACGAGGCCAUGUACAGCCUUAUACCCCUCAAACUCUGGUACAUUCUUGGGCUUCCGCCUUUAAUUAGUACACACUUAAAUUUAAAAGCUCACUAUUCACACAUACUGUGGACGAAUGGCAAAACAUUAGUCUCAUUUUUCAGAAAAAAACCCAAAUUAAAAAAAUAUUCUCCAAUUAUUCAUAAAUAAUAUUGUAUGUGUUUAUAAUCUUAUGAUAAACAAGGUUUAAUAAUAAUAAAAAAAUGUUUUCUGUUA